CUACGGGUCGCUCCAGUGGGGAAUAUUGCAUAAUGGAGGAAACUCUGAUGCAGCAACGCCGCGUGGAGGAUGACACUUUUCGGAGCGUAAACUCCUUUUAUAUAGGAAGAAGAUGACGGUACUAUAUGAAUAAGCGCCGGCUAACUCCGUGCCAGCAGCCGCGGUAAUACGGAGGGCGCAAGCGUUACUCGGAAUCACUGGGCGUAGAGAGCGUGUAGGCGGAUUAAAAAGUCAGAAGUGAAAUCCUAUAGCUUAACUAUAGAACUGCUUCUGAAACUCUUAAUCUAGAAUAUGGGAGAGGUAGAUGGAAUUUCUGGUGUAGGGGCAAAAUCCGUAGAGAUCAGAAGGAAUACCGAUUGCGAAGGCGAUCUACUAGAACAUUAUUGACGCUGAGACGCGAAAGCGUGGGGAGCAAACAGGAUUAGAUACCCUAGUAGUC
rnacentral:rRNA from 1 species